rnacentral:rRNA from 1 species
UAAUACGGAGGGUGCGAGCGUUAUCCGGAAUCACUGGGUUUAAAGGGUGCGUAGGCGGUUUGAUAAGUCAGUGGUGAAAGGCCGUCGCUUAACGAUGGGACUGCCAUUGAUACUGUUAGACUUGAAUCAGGAUGAGGUUGGCGGAAUGUGGCAUGUAGCGGUGAAAUGCUUAGAUAUGCCAUGGAAUACCGAUUGCGAAGGCAGCUGACUGGACCUGAAUUGACGCUGAGGCACGAAAGCGUGGGGAGCGAACAGGAUUAGAUACCCUGGUAGUCCACGCCCUAAACGAUGCUUACUCGUUGUUUGAUCUAAGGAUUGAGUGACUAAGCGAAAGCGAUAAGUAAGCCACCUGGGGAGUACGACCGCAAGGUUGAAACUCAAAUGAAUUGACGG